rnacentral:rRNA from 1 species
UAACACGUAGGAGACGAGCGUUAUCCGGAUUUACUGGGUGUAAAGCGCGUGCAGGCGGUAUGGAAAGUUGGAUGUGAAAGCUCCCGGCUUAACUGGGAGAGGUCGUUCAAAACUACCAAACUAGAGUACAGCAGAGGGGAGUGGAAUUCCGAGUGUAGCGGUAAAAUGCAUAGAUAUUCGGAAGAACACCAGUGGCGAAGGCGGCUCCCUGGGCUGAAACUGACGCUCAGACGCGAAAGCUAGGGUAGCGAACGGGAUUAGAGACCCCGGUAGUCCUAGCCGUAAACGAUGUGGACUUGGCGUAGGCGGGUUGAAAUCCAUCUGUGCCGAAGCAAACGCGAUAAGUCCACCACCUGGGGACUACGGCCGCAAGGCUAAAACUUAAAUGAAUUGACGG